CCUACGUGAGACAGCAGUGAGGAAUAUUGGUCAAUGGGCGCGAGCCUGAACCAGCCAAGUAGCGUGAAGGAUGACUGUCCUACGGGUUGUAAACUUCUUUUAUAAAGGAAUAAAGUGAUGCACGUGUGCCUUUUUGUAUGUACUUUAUGAAUAAGGAUCGGCUAACUCCGUGCCAGCAGCCGCGGUAAUACGGAGGAUCCGAGCGUUAUCCGGAUUUAUUGGGUUUAAAGGGAGCGUAGAUGGGUUGUUAAGUCAGUUGUGAAAGUUUGCGGCUCAACCGUAAAAUUGCAAUUGAAACUGGCAGUCUUGAGUACAGUUGAGGUAGGCGGAAUUCGUGGUGUAGCGGUGAAAUGCUUAGAUAUCACGAAGAACUCCGAUUGCGAAGGCAGCUUACUAAACUGCCACUGACAUUGAUGCUCGAAAGUGUGGGUAUCAAACAGGAUUAGAUACCCGAGUAGUC
rnacentral:rRNA from 1 species